GUCCCAGCUGCUACUGAAGAUGGAUGCAGGUGUUUUGUUGGUGCAAGUUGUUGGCUCAUGUUGAGUUUCAAGCAGUCUGUCUGUAUGUGCAAACCUCUUGCGGCCAGUGGAAUGGGCUGGGAUACUUGACAACAACAAGGUGCGGGCUGAGAAGAAGAAGGGCCGCGGAGCCACCAGAUAGGCCCAGGCCCGUUAGAGCCCAUGGAGUGGGCGCUCUGAAAACCCUAAACCCUCCCCCUUUUUAUCUCCCCCCACCCAGCCGCCGUUUCCCAUCCUCCUCCUUCGCUCUUCUUCUUCUCCUCCUCCUCGUCAAUCAAGUAAAGAAAGCAGCAAGUAGAAAUCCAUGGCGGCGGCCAAGAACCCCAAGGUCUUCUUCGACAUCCUCAUCGGCCAGGCCAAGGCGGGGCGGGUGGUCAUGGAGCUCUACGCCGACAAGGUGCCCAGGACGGCGGCCAACUUCCGGCAGCUCUGCACGGGCGAGAAGGGCCUGGGCGCCAGCGGCAAGCCGCUCCACUACAAGGGCUCGGCCUUCCACCGCAUCAUCCCGGGCUUCAUGUGCCAGGGCGGCGACUUCACCCGCGGCAACGGCACCGGCGGCGAGUCGGUCUACGGCGCCAAGUUCGCCGACGAGAACUUCCUCCUCCGCCACACGGGCCCCGGCGUGCUCUCCAUGGCCAACGCAGGGCCCGGCACCAACGGCUCCCAGUUCUUCAUCUGCACCGCCAAGACGCCCUGGCUCGACGGCAAGCACGUCGUGUUCGGGCAGGUCGUGGACGGGUACGGCGUCGUGGAGAAGAUGGAGGCCGUCGGGUCGUCCGGCGGCUCCACCGCCCAGCCCGUCGUCAUCGAGGACUGCGGCCAGCUCCCCGACGACCACUGCUGAUCUCAUGAUUCAUUCAGCCUUGUUUUUUUUUUUACUUGCUACGUACUACUGAAGCUGAGACGGUUAAUAUGGAGGGAUCCGAUGGAGGGACUAGUUUGUUUGUUUAGGUGUGUGCGUUGUGCGUGCGUGUAAUUGACUGAAUGAAUGAAUAAAUUUACAGAUUCAGUUUGAUCAAUCUCAAAAGAGUUCGAGAGAUUAUUUCUCUUCUAACCUGCAAAGAUUCAUCCAUGCUCUAGCUGCCUGUAGAUAUUCCAAUCUUUGAUUGAAAAAAAAAUGGAAACCAGCAGCAGCACUAGAAAUUUUGUUUGACAUGUUGAGUGGUUCAGGCAUCAAGUUAAGUUCACAUCAAAUGCAUGCUUACUAUACUUUGUGUCACCUCUUUUUAGCUCACAUUGACAUGAUCCAACAAAAGAUUAACUGGUUCUGAUUCAACAUACUAAGACUAGAAGACC
rnacentral:rRNA from 1 species